GAUGAACGCUGGCGGCGUGCUUAAUACAUGUAAGUCGAACGAGGAGUUUUUGUCUUCGGAUGGAAACUCUUAGUGGCGAACGGGUGAGUAACACGUUGGUGACCUGCCCCGAAGCGGGGGAUAACAGUUCGAAAGGAUUGCUAAUACCCCAUGUGAUCAUUGGGAUUAGAUGCCUGAUGAUUAAAGAAGUAAUUCACUUUGGGAGGGACCUGCGUCCCAUCAGCUAGUUGGUAGGGUUACGGCCUACCAAGGCGAUGACGGGUAGGGGACCUGAGGAGGUGACCCCCCACACUGGCACUGAAAAACGGGCCAGACACCUACGGGUGGCAGCAGUAGGGAAUUUUGGACAAUGGGAGAAAGCCUGAUCCAGCAACGCCGCGUGUGCGAUGAAGGCCUUCGGGUUGUAAAGCACUUUUAGGGGAGAUGAGAAUGGACAGUACCCCCUGAAUAAGCCUCGGCUAACUACGUGCCAGCCGCCGCCGUAAUAC
rnacentral:rRNA from 1 species